rnacentral:rRNA from 1 species
UUAAGCGACUAAGCGUACACGGUGGAUGCCCUGGCAGUCAGAGGCGAUGAAGGACGUGCUAAUCUGCGAUAAGCGUCGGUAAGGUGAUAUGAACCGUUAUAACCGGCGAUUUCCGAAUGGGGAAACCCAGUGUGAUUCGUCACACUAUCAUUAACUGAAUCCAUAGGUUAAUGAGGCGAACCGGGGGAACUGAAACAUCUAAGUACCCCGAGGAAAAGAAAUCAACCGAGAUUCCCCCAGUAGCGGCGAGCGAACGGGGAGCAGCCCAGAGCCUGAAUCAGUGUGUGUGUUAGUGGAAGCGUCUGGAAAGGCGCGCGAUACAGGGUGACAGCCCCGUACACAAAAAUGCACAUGCUGUGAGCUCGAUGAGUAGGGCGGGACACGUGGUAUCCUGUCUGAAUAUGGGGGGACCAUCCUCCAAGGCUAAAUACUCCUGACUGACCGAUAGUGAACCAGUACCGUGAGGGAAAGGCGAAAAGAACCCCGGCGAGGGGAGUGAAAAAGAACCUGAAACCGUGUACGUACAAGCAGUGGGAGCACGCUUAGGCGUGUGACUGCGUACCUUUUGUAUAAUGGGUCAGCGACUUAUAUUCUGUAGCAAGGUUAACCGAAUAGGGGAGCCGAAGGGAAACCGAGUCUUAACUGGGCGUUAAGUUGCAGGGUAUAGACCCGAAACCCGGUGAUCUAGCCAUGGGCAGGUUGAAGGUUGGGUAACACUAACUGGAGGACCGAACCGACUAAUGUUGAAAAAUUAGCGGAUGACUUGUGGCUGGGGGUGAAAGGCCAAUCAAACCGGGAGAUAGCUGGUUCUCCCCGAAAGCUAUUUAGGUAGCGCCUCGUGAAUUCAUCUCCGGGGGUAGAGCACUGUUUCGGCAAGGGGGUCAUCCCGACUUACCAACCCGAUGCAAACUGCGAAUACCGGAGAAUGUUAUCACGGGAGACACACGACGGGUGCUAACGUCCGUCGUGAAGAGGGAAACAACCCAGACCGCCAGCUAAGGUCCCAAAGUCAUGGUUAAGUGGGAAACGAUGUGGGAAGGCCCAGACAGCCAGGAUGUUGGCUUAGAAGCAGCCAUCAUUUAAAGAAAGCGUAAUAGCUCACUGGUCGAGUCGGCCUGCGCGGAAGAUGUAACGGGGCUAAACCAUGCACCGAAGCUGCGGCAGCGACGCUUAUGCGUUGUUGGGUAGGGGAGCGUUCUGUAAGCCUGUGAAGGUGUACUGUGAGGUAUGCUGGAGGUAUCAGAAGUGCGAAUGCUGACAUAAGUAACGAUAAAGCGGGUGAAAAGCCCGCUCGCCGGAAGACCAAGGGUUCCUGUCCAACGUUAAUCGGGGCAGGGUGAGUCGACCCCUAAGGCGAGGCCGAAAGGCGUAGUCGAUGGGAAACAGGUUAAUAUUCCUGUACUUGGUGUUACUGCGAAGGGGGGACGGAGAAGGCUAUGUUGGCCGGGCGACGGUUGUCCCGGUUUAAGCGUGUAGGCUGGUUUUCCAGGCAAAUCCGGAAAAUCAAGGCUGAGGCGUGAUGACGAGGCACUACGGUGCUGAAGCAACAAAUGCCCUGCUUCCAGGAAAAGCCUCUAAGCAUCAGGUAACAUCAAAUCGUACCCCAAACCGACACAGGUGGUCAGGUAGAGAAUACCAAGGCGCUUGAGAGAACUCGGGUGAAGGAACUAGGCAAAAUGGUGCCGUAACUUCGGGAGAAGGCACGCUGAUAUGUAGGUGAAGUCCCUCGCGGAUGGAGCUGAAAUCAGUCGAAGAUACCAGCUGGCUGCAACUGUUUAUUAAAAACACAGCACUGUGCAAACACGAAAGUGGACGUAUACGGUGUGACGCCUGCCCGGUGCCGGAAGGUUAAUUGAUGGGGUUAGCGCAAGCGAAGCUCUUGAUCGAAGCCCCGGUAAACGGCGGCCGUAACUAUAACGGUCCUAAGGUAGCGAAAUUCCUUGUCGGGUAAGUUCCGACCUGCACGAAUGGCGUAAUGAUGGCCAGGCUGUCUCCACCCGAGACUCAGUGAAAUUGAACUCGCUGUGAAGAUGCAGUGUACCCGCGGCAAGACGGAAAGACCCCGUGAACCUUUACUAUAGCUUGACACUGAACAUUGAGCCUUGAUGUGUAGGAUAGGUGGGAGGCUUUGAAGUGUGGACGCCAGUCUGCAUGGAGCCGACCUUGAAAUACCACCCUUUAAUGUUUGAUGUUCUAACGUUGACCCGUAAUCCGGGUUGCGGACAGUGUCUGGUGGGUAGUUUGACUGGGGCGGUCUCCUCCUAAAGAGUAACGGAGGAGCACGAAGGUUGGCUAAUCCUGGUCGGACAUCAGGAGGUUAGUGCAAUGGCAUAAGCCAGCUUGACUGCGAGCGUGACGGCGCGAGCAGGUGCGAAAGCAGGUCAUAGUGAUCCGGUGGUUCUGAAUGGAAGGGCCAUCGCUCAACGGAUAAAAGGUACUCCGGGGAUAACAGGCUGAUACCGCCCAAGAGUUCAUAUCGACGGCGGUGUUUGGCACCUCGAUGUCGGCUCAUCACAUCCUGGGGCUGAAGUAGGUCCCAAGGGUAUGGCUGUUCGCCAUUUAAAGUGGUACGCGAGCUGGGUUUAGAACGUCGUGAGACAGUUCGGUCCCUAUCUGCCGUGGGCGCUGGAGAACUGAGGGGGGCUGCUCCUAGUACGAGAGGACCGGAGUGGACGCAUCACUGGUGUUCGGGUUGUCAUGCCAAUGGCACUGCCCGGUAGCUAAAUGCGGAAGAGAUAAGUGCUGAAAGCAUCUAAGCACGAAACUUGCCCCGAGAUGAGUUCUCCCUGACUCCUUGAGAGUCCUGAAGGAACGUUGAAGACGACGACGUUGAUAGGCCGGGUGUGUAAGCGCAGCGAUGCGUUGAGCUAACCGGUACUAAUGAACCGUGAGGCUUAACCUU